CAUUACAGACUAACUAAAGUUGAAAAAGUGAAAAAGCAUAAUAGGACCCCUUUAAAGAGGUUUACAUGCUUGGCAUUGACAUGAUAGACAGCAGAUGAUUUCAAAGAAGUCGCUGGUUUUGCACAACACUGUGCGGAAUGAAUUUGAUUCGUUUGUUUUUAAAACACAAGUGUAAUAAUUCAGAAAGUUUGCCCGCUCAUAGUAUUCCAUCUAAUUUUAAUAUUUUUUAGAAUGAUUUUAUGUAUGUAUAUGUAUUUUGAUUGAAUUAUAUUAAUUUACCCAUGAAAAUGACUACAGAUAGAUCUUUCUUUAUCUUCGACAGCAGGACAAAAGCUUAAAAUCACUCCAGCCAAAACUUUGAUUUGUUCUUUUUCAUUUUUAUUUGAAUUACAAUUUAGUUCUCUGCUAUUACCAACUUUAGAAGCCAGAUGAUUGGCAUGAUUUUAUACAGUAUUUGUAAAUGGGAUGUUUGCUCAUUCUUUACAAACAGUGAUGAAAAACAGCUUACAUUUGUUACUCAUACAAUAUAAUGUUUUAACCCUAUAGUAGGAAACAAAUGACUGACCUGAAACGAAUGGCCUGAAUUUGUAUUUUAACCAAUUUCAUCACUUGAAUUUCAAAAGUGGAAUUAUGUAUGCAUGUACAUAAGUUGUUUUCAUCUUUGGCAUAAUACACGAGGUCUCAACAAUGCUGAAGAAUCAGAAACUCUUAUUAUGAAAUAUCGCACUUCCGGUGGACGUUAAAGGGAGCGAUCACACAGCUCGCAUGUUGCUGUGGAAGAUGCAGUUUACGUUCUAAAGCGUUUAGUCUGGUGUAAUAUAUAGUCAUGGGGGAUCACGUCGAGUUGGUCGCUGGCUGUUGUGAGCAGAUAGUAUUUGGAUAUCGUGUCCUGGUGAUGAGGAGUGGGCAAUUGAGCCCAACUUUACCCAUCAUGCACACACAGCAUC